rnacentral:lncRNA from 1 species
ACACAACCAGAUCUGUUUGGGCUAUCAGCAGACCAGCACCAUGAACAGUCAGAUGCGACACUGGAAUUCGGACUCCUGGGUUCCAAAGGGGGUGGGGGACUCUUGGUGGUAUCAUGGGUGGAGAGCAUAUGUCUCACUGGCUCUGACCUGGUCUCUGUUACCAGUGCUUCUGGGUCCUGGCCCUUCCCCUGAGACCCCCAGUUCCCCCAGUGAUGCCCACCCAGGGCCCCAGUCUUCCACUCUUGGAGCUCACACUCAGGGUAAGGGGGUCACCUGGGAGGGACAGUAUUGCAGCGUGGAACUGCUGAGUCUCAGAGUUCUAAGCCGGGUACUGAUUGGUGUUUGAUGCCCACUAACACCUGUUUGGAACCUCCCUUCACCACAGCUGGACAUCCCAGCCAGUGUCCUGCACGGGCAAUUUGGCAGUUGUUCUUGGCAUGGCUACAGGGGCUACAACUGGUAUCGGGAUACCCCAGACCAGUGCUCUAACCUGUGUGUUUAGGGAUCCUGAGACUGUGUGGAGUGAAGCUGAAAGGCAGCAUGAAAACUUGCUGUUAGCCCCACCUGUGCCUGUUCUGUGCACCAACUACCCUAAAGCUGAGCCUCCCCCCUCCUUCUCGGUCGGCAGGCGUGCGCAGGGACCUUUCCCCAGCCUCAGCCUCCCGAUCCAUCCCCAUCCCACUCCUCCUGGCCUGUGUGGCGGCGGCCUUCGCUUUGGGCGCCUCAGUCUCCGGCCUCUUGG